rnacentral:lncRNA from 1 species
AUAAUGGCGGGAUCACAAUCUGCUAGUGUAUCGAAGAAGACAAAGUCGAAGGAAAAACGUUCGAAGCAUAAGAAGACCAAGUCUUUGAAGUCACCAACAACAUCUUCAUUUUCUGAUGGAUCUCACUCAAAGAAGGGAAAGUCCAAAAAGAAAGAAGUUGAACCAACCGGGGGACUAAAGUUGCUGAAGCGGCAUGCGGUGGCUAAGCAAAUGCAAAGCUACAUUGGUGUAUUGGCAAGAAGGAAGGUACCGAUAA